rnacentral:tRNA from 1 species
CAGGUAGCUCAGUCGGUAGAGCAGAGGACUGAAAAUCCUCGUGUCGGGUGUUCGAUUCACCCCCUG